rnacentral:rRNA from 1 species
UACGGGGGGAGCAAGCGUUGUUCGGAUUUACUGGGCGUAAAGGGCGCGUAGGCGGCGCAACAAGUCACUUGUGAAAUCUCCGGGCUUAACCCGGAGCGGCCAAGUGAUACUGUCGUGCUAGAGUGCGGAAGGGGCUACUGGAAUUCUUGGUGUAGCGGUGAAAUGCGUAGAUAUCAAGAGGAACACCUGAGGUGAAGACGGGUUGCUGGGCCGACACUGACGCUGAGUGCGCGAAAGCCAGGGGAGCAAACGGG